rnacentral:sRNA from 1 species
ACAAGCUAUCAAUAAGGCCUAGAUACGUCUGCCUCACCAAAGCGUGAGGCUACUCCCCGGCAUGCGCCGGGGUGAGAAUCAGACCCUAGGCAGAAAGCUUGU